rnacentral:rRNA from 1 species
CGCCUGGGGAGUACGGCCGCAAGGUUAAAACUCAAAUGAAUUGACGGGGGCCCGCACAAGCGGUGGAGCAUGUGGUUUAAUUCGACGCAACGCGAAGAACCUUACCUGGCCUUGACAUCCAGAGAACUUUCCAGAGAUGGAUUGGUGCCUUCGGGAACUCUGAGACAGGUGCUGCAUGGCCGUCGUCAGCUCGUGUCGUGAGAUGUUGGGUUAAGUCCCGUAACGAGCGCAACCCCUAUCCCUGGUUGCUAGCAGGUAAUGCUGAGAACUCCAGGGAGACUGCCGGUGACAAACCGGAGGAAGGUGGGGAUGACGUCAGGUCAUCAUGGCCCUUACGGCCAGGGCUACACACGUGCUACAAUGGCGCGUACAGAGGGCUGCCGACUCGCGAGAGUGAGCCAAUCCCUUAAAACGCGUCGUAGUCCGGAUCGGAGUCUGCAACUCGACUCCGUGAAGUCGGAAUCGCUAGUAAUCGCGAAUCAGAAUGUCGCGGUGAAUACGUUCCCGGGCCCUGUACACACCGCCCGUCACACCAUGGGAGUGGAUUGCACCAGAAGUAGUUAGUCUAACCUUCGGGAGGACGAUUACCACGGUGUGGUUCAUGACUGGGGUGAAGUCGUAACAAGGUAACCGUA